rnacentral:rRNA from 1 species
AGCUGACUUCGGGCACUGUGAGACAGGUGCUGCAUGGCUGUCGUCAGCUCGUGUUGUGAAAUGUUGGGUUAAGUCCCGCAACGAGCGCAACCCUUAUCCUUUGUUGCCAGCACGUAAUGGUGGGAACUCAAAGGAGACUGCCGGUGACAAACCGGAGGAAGGUGGGGAUGACGUCAAGUCAUCAUGGCCCUUACGAGUAGGGCUACACACGUGCUACAAUGGCAUAUACAAAGAGAAGCGAACUCGCGAGAGCCAGCGGACCUCAUAAGUGCGUCGUAA